rnacentral:misc_RNA from 1 species
UUCACUACGCUUUGCUUC